GCAAAACACGUUAGCCGUCUUCCUUCGGCGCCUCUUUUUACUAUUUAUAACCCUCUCGCGCCCAAUUUGUCAGAUCUAUCGCUCUCUCGAUCUGUGCUUCAGAUUCUACACACAAAUUCAUGGAGAUCGUCUCACGAUCUACCUUCUGAUAUUGGAUUUUACUUGUUAUGCCCGGAAUUCCAGUUGUUGUUCCUGGCUCAUGUUGUUUGCUUCGAAUCUGGAAAGCUAUGUAGCAUCAAUUAUGGAUCAACCUGACUGCUUGGUCUCAUGGAGGUCAACUAGUCGAUUGUUGGACAUGCUUGUUUGCUGAGAUGUUACAUCGGCUCUAAUAGCUACCGGUAUAGAUUUUUGGAGGUCGUCAACUAAUGGAUUGGUGGGCAUGCCUUGUUUCCCGAGGUUUUACAGCCGUUUACAUGGUAGCCGUGUGGAUUCGUGGAGUUAUGUUCUGGAUUCGUGGAGUCAACUAAUCCAUUGGUUGAUGGGCAUGCCUUGUGUGCAAAGAUGUUACAGAGGUUUCCAUUCCUCUGACGCUGAGGACGGUGACUGUAGUCCGAGCUCCAACCGAUUGCUUCGGAUUUCGAUAAUCACAUCCUGGCACAUGUACAAUUAUAUCAGGGGUAUAAUCUAUAUGGUGUAUAUGCUUAAUUAUAUUGCUUAUGGUGAAAAACAAGGAGAGAAAAAAUGUAAAAAAUUAAGGGGAGAUGUGUCUGUCCGACCUUUGCCAUGACAGGUGCGCUUGCAUGGCAGGUCAAAUCCCUAAUAAAAUUUUAUUUUUUGUUUUUCCGGGGGGAGAUGGUACGGGUUUCUUUGAUUUUUUAUUGGCCCGGCUCUCCCCUCGGCUUGUCCUUUGCCUUUUCU